rnacentral:rRNA from 1 species
AGUGAACGCUGGCGGUAGGCCUAACACAUGCAAGUCGAACGGCAGCACAGUAAGAGCUUGCUCUUACGGGUGGCGAGUGGCGGACGGGUGAGGAAUACAUCGGAAUCUACUUUUUCGUGGGGGAUAACGUAGGGAAACUUACGCUAAUACCGCAUACGACCUACGGGUGAAAGCAGGGGAUCUUCGGACCUUGCGCGAUUGAAUGAGCCGAUGUCGGAUUAGCUAGUUGGCGGGGUAAGGGCCCACCAAGGCGACGAUCCGUAGCUGGUCUGAGAGGAUGAUCAGCCACACUGGAACGGAGACACGGUCCAGACUCCUACGGGAGGCAGCAGUGGGGAAUAUUGGACAAUGGGCGCAAGCCUGAUCCAGCCAUACCGCGUGGGUGAAGAAGGCCUUCGGGUUGUAAAGCCCUUUUGUUGGGAAAGAAAAGCAGCAGGUUAAUACCCCGCUGUUCUGACGGUACCCAAAGAAUAAGCACCGGCUAACUUCGUG